rnacentral:misc_RNA from 1 species
GCAGUAGACAUAAUAUACACGACUGCGAAGGCAGUGAAGUUGGAGUGAACAUGGCACACCUGAACUUGCUCAUGGGGAGAUUUGAACACAACAUAUAUGACAUGCAGAAGAACUUGAGAUGCCAAAGUCGUUCGCACAUGCCCUUUUCCAUUUUGUAGAUUGUGAGGAAAUCAUUGGGUAACUCAAAAUUUUCCAACAAGCCACGGUAAUCUUAGAUUAGAAAACACGCUAAAGCAGCCCAAAAUGCGACAAUUGCAAGAAUCCCGGGGCCUUGUAACCGAGGGCUAGCAUUUGGUAACCAUGGAUAUGCAUCAGGAGGUGGCAUGACACAGUUAUCACCGUUG